rnacentral:tRNA from 1 species
UAGAAAUAAUAUAGUUUAAACUGCUAAUUUAAAUUUGGGGAGUUUCUCCAUUUCUAA